rnacentral:rRNA from 1 species
AGUCACUGACAUUAGAUACCCGGGUAGUCCCAGCCGUAAACUAUGCUCGCUAGGUGUCAGGCAUGGCGCGACCGUGUCUGGUGCCGCAGGGAAGCCGUGAAGCGAGCCACCUGGGAAGUACGGCCGCAAGGCUGAAACUUAAAGGAAUUGGCGGGGGAGCACAACAACGGGUGGAGCCUGCGGUUUAAUUGGACUCAACGCCGGACAACUCACCGGGGACGACAGCAAUAUGUAGGCCACGGCUGAAGACCUUGCCUGAAUCGCUG